AGCAGGGUCUAUUUAAACCCUGUCUGUGCCUAGAGUUUAGAGAAUCUGCUCAAUACCUAGUAAAAAUGAGAUUUUCCUUUACUUCUCUACAUCCCCUCUGCUCCCCUAUCUCCCCUCUUCAUGUCUAAGAAGUUGGACAUCCAUCUGGUGCUUGUCUAAGGAGUGGUGGCUCUCUGAACAGAAGGCUGCAGGGAUUUGUCGAGAAGCUGCUGCUCCAGUUUUAGAAAAUCUUUUGAAGAUCUUCCAGAUCAGAUCCAGAUCUGAUUUUUGGAGCAGAGAUUUGCAAGGAGAAGAUGAUCCAGAUCCUACUUGAGUAGAUAUCGGUAG
rnacentral:lncRNA from 1 species